UGAGGAAUCUUCCACAAUGGGCGAAAGCCUGAUGGAGCAACGCCGCGUGCAGGAUGAAGGCCUUAGGGUCGUAAACUGCUUUUAUAAGUGAAGAAUAUGACGGUAACUUAUGAAUAAGCACCGGCUAACUACGUGCCAGCAGCCGCGGUCAUACGUAGGGUGCAAGCAUUAUCCGGAGUGACUGGGCGUAAAGAGUUGCGUAGGUGGUUUGUUAAGUGAAUGGUGAAAUCUGGUGGCUCAACCACACAGACUAUUAUUCAAACUGGCAAACUCGAGAGUAGCAGAGGUAACUGGAAUUUCUAGUGUAGGAGUGAAAUCCGUAGAUAUUAGAAGGAACACCAAUGGCGUAGGCAGGUUACUGGGCUAUUUCUGACACUAAAGCACGAAAGCGUGGGGAGCGAACC
rnacentral:rRNA from 1 species